GAUGAACGCUGGCGGCGUGCCUAAUACAUGCAAGUCGAGCGAACAGACGAGGAGCUUGCUCCUCUGACGUUAGCGGCGGACGGGUGAGUAACACGUGGAUAACCUACCUAUAAGACUGGGAUAACUUCGGGAAACCGGAGCUAAUACCGGAUAAUAUAUUGAACCGCAUGGUUCAAUAGUGAAAGACGGUUUUGCUGUCACUUAUAGAUGGAUCCGCGCCGCAUUAGCUAGUUGGUAAGGUAACGGCUUACCAAGGCAACGAUGCGUAGCCGACCUGAGAGGGUGAUCGGCCACACUGGAACUGAGACACGGUCCAGACUCCUACGGGAGGCAGCAGUAGGGAAUCUUACGCAAUGGGCGAAAGCCUGACGGAGCAACGCCGCGUGAGUGAUGAAGGUCUUCGGAUCGUAAAACUCUGUUAUUAGGGAAGAACAAAUGUGUAACUAACUAUGCACGUCUUGACGGUACCUAAUCAGAAAGCCACGGCUAACUACGUG
rnacentral:rRNA from 1 species